UCUUUCCUGACUUUUUUUUUUUUUUUUUUUUUUGAAGCAAGGUUUGUAGUCCAGACUGGCCUGGAGCUCACAGUGUAGUCAAGACUAGCUUCUAACUCACAAUCCUCCUGCCUCAAGCUCCUGAGUGUUGAGAUGUGAACCACCUUGCUUAGCUCUCCAAAGCUCUGUUUUCUAGUGUUAUAUCCCAUAUAUCCCAGAUGAAAUAUUUACCAGGGACAGAAGGUAGAGAAAGGUGUUGGGCACACACACACACACACACACACACACACACACACACAAUUUUUUAAAAGGUAUAUCCUACAGGACAGUUAGGACCAAAAUGUGGGUGAGAUAGAGUUGAAUCUUGAUUUUCCUUUCUCAGAAAGCAAUGGAAUGGAACAGAUAUAAUUAGAGACUCUGAGUUGGGCCCUGGUGGCUCAUGCCUGUAAUCACAGCACUUCAUAGGCCAAGAGUUUGAGGCCGGUCUGGGCUACAUAGUGAGUCUCCAUAGGAGAUUCUAGAAGAAUCUGGUGCUCUUUAGGGACAAAUAGCCAGAUAUCUUUCUCCGUAGAAUUAUUUUUGUUUUAAGCCUAUAGCAUUUGAAACCAGUAACUCCAGGAACCCAGGAAACAGAAAUGUGGCUCUCCCACAGAAAGUCAGUGGGUAGAAAGGCAAUGAGAAGCUUCACACCAGCCAGGAAGCUGGACAGUCGCAGCAUGGACCUGGACUAAUUGCCAGGCCAGUUGGAAGCUAGGCAGGAAAAAUUGGCUUCAUGGCUUAGCAGCUUCACUGGACACAGAGAAGGACUUAGGCAGGGGUGACAUUCCCUUGCUGGCAGUGACGACUGUCCCAGCGUAGACCUCUGGAUUAUUUCAUUUGGUGUCUGGAAUUUUUAGCAACCAGCUCUCCAGCCUAAAAUAUGAGACAAGCAUGCUGACAGCCUCUGUCUAUUGUGGAGCUACCCACCCAUCACAGGCAUCUCUUCUCGUAUUUAAAGGACCACCUGUAUUUAUUUGCUAUGAGUUCUGUUCAUAAGGCUUGUUCAUUUUUAAAUUAGGUUAUAGCUUGACAUUCCUAUUUUAAAAGUCUUGUAAGCAGUUCUGACAAGUAUAGAGUAAGUCUAAAUGGGUUUCAAAAUGUGAGCUCUCUGCUGCACACAUUCACUUAGAUUCUGACAAUAAAACUAGAAAUUCAUAACAAAAUAAUGCCUUUGAAAAUUCACUUACCCAUUUAGGAAUAAUCUCAAUAAAUUUCUAAGUAUUUUUUAGACCAGAGAGGAAGUCAAAGCCACAAGGUAGUGGAAUAUGUAUAAAGUAAUGAUAUUUAAUGGUUGUAAUAGUUUAGAGGUUAAGAGCACUGGCUGUUCUUCAAGAGGAUCCCGGUUCAAUUCUCAGUACCCAUAUGGUGGCUCUCAAUUGCCUAUAACUCUAGUUCCAGACCUUCUAACACAUUCUUUUGGCCUCCAAGGUCCCAGGCAUGCACAUGGUGCACAGCCAUACACACAAGCAAAACACGCAGACACAUU
rnacentral:lncRNA from 1 species